rnacentral:tRNA from 1 species
AAGAAAUUAGUUAAAAUAUAACAUUAGUAUGUCAAACUGAAUUUAUUGAACUUUUCAAUAUUUCUUA